rnacentral:rRNA from 1 species
UACGUAGGGGGCAAGCGUUGUCCGGAAUCAUUGGGCGUAAAGCGCGUGUAGGCGGCCCGGUAAGUCCGCUGUGAAAGUCGGGGGCUCAACCCUCGAAUGCCGGUGGAUACUGUCGGGCUAGGGUGCGGAAGAGGCGAGUGGAAUUCCUGGUGUAGCGGUGAAAUGCGCAGAUAUCAGGAGGAACACCAAUUGCGAAGGCAGCUCGCUGGGACGUGACUGACGCUGAGACGCGAAAGCGUGGGGAGCAAACAGG